UAUUAUACAGUGACUUCACCUAGGAUGAAGGAGGCAAGCUCAAAGAAAAAAAAAAAGUGAGACAUUCAACUAACAUGUGUCGAAGUGCGUGUAAACUGGCUCGGACAUCCCAAUUAGUAAUGUAUUAUAUUGUGAAACCAAGUCGGUGACAUUUGAUCCAAUGCAUUGCGUCAAAUGUUUUAGAAUAUUUCAUUGUUUAUUAUCCUAGAUGACUUUGCAAGCUCAAAGAAAAAAAAAAAAACGUGAGACAUUCAACUAAUCUCGCGUUGUCGAAGUGCGUGUAAACUGGCCCGAACAUCCCGGUUAGCAAUGUAUUAUAUUGUGAAACCAAGUCGGUGACAUUUGAUCCAAUGCAUUGCGUCAAAUGUUUUAGAAUAUUCCAUUGUUUAUUAUCCUAGAUGACUUUGCAAGCUCAAAGAAAAAAAAAAGUGAGAUUCAACUAAUCUGGCGUUGUCGAAGUGCGUGUAAACUGGCCCGAAUAUCCCGGUUAGCAAUGUAUUAUAUUGUGAAACCAAGUUGGUGACAUUUGAACCAAUGCAUUGUGUCAAAUAUUUUAGAAUAUUCUGUUGUUUAUUAUCUAGAUGACUUUGCAAGCUCAAACAAAAAGAAAAAAGGUGAGACAUUCAACUAACCUGGCAUUGUCGAAGUGCGAGUAAACUGGCCCGGACAUCCCGGUUAGUAAUGUAUUAUAUUGGGAAACCACGUCGGUGACAUUUGAUCCAAUGCAUUGUUUCAAAUGUUUUAGAAUAUUCUGUUGUUUAUUAUCGACUUUGCAAGCUCAAAGAAAAAAAAGAAAAAGAAAAAAGGUGAGACAUUCAACUAAUCUGGCAUUGUCGAAGUGCGAGUAAACUGGCUCGGACAUCCCGGUUAGUAAUGUAUUAUAUUUGGAAACCAAGUCGGUGACAUUUGAUCCAAUGCAUUGUGUUAAAUGUUUUAGAAUAUUUUGUUGUUUAUUAUCUAGAUGACUUUGCAAGCUCAAAGAAAAAAAGAAAAAGAAAAAAGGUGAGACAUUCAACUAACCUGGCAUUGU
rnacentral:lncRNA from 1 species